rnacentral:rRNA from 1 species
UACGGAGGAUGCGAGCGUUAUCCGGAAUUACUGGGUGUAAAGGGAGCGUAGACGGUAAUGUAAGUCUGGAGUGAAAGGCGGGGGCCCAACCCCCGGACUGCUCUGGAAACUAUGUUACUAGAGUGCAGGAGAGGUAAGCGGAAUUCCUAGUGUAGCGGUGAAAUGCGUAGAUAUUAGGAGGAACACCAGUGGCGAAGGCGGCUUACUGGACUGUAACUGACGUUGAGGCUCGAAAGCGUGGGGAGCAAACAGG